GAUGAACGCUGGCGGCGUGCCUAAUACAUGCAAGUCGAGCGAACAGACGAGGAGCUUGCUCCUCUGACGUUAGCGGCGGACGGGUGAGUAACACGUGGAUAACCUACCUAUAAGACUGGGAUAACUUCGGGAAACCGGAGCUAAUACCGGAUAAUAUAUUGAACCGCAUGGUUCAAUAGUGAAAGACGGUUUUGCUGUCACUUAUAGAUGGAUCCGCGCCGCAUUAGCUAGUUGGUAAGGUAACGGCUUACCAAGGCGACGAUGCGUAGCCGACCUGAGAGAGUGAUCGGCCACACUGGAACUGGGACACGGUCCAGACUCCUACGGGAGGCAGCAGUAGGGAAUCUUCCGCAAUGGGCGAGAGCCUGACGGAGCAACGCCGCGUGAGUGAUGAAGGUCUUCGGAUCGUAAAACUCUGUUAUUAGGGAAGAACAAAUGUGUAAGUAACUAUGCACGUCUUGACGGUACCUAAUCAGAAAGCCACGGCUAACUACGUG
rnacentral:rRNA from 1 species